UGAGGAGUAUUGGUCAAUGGGCGAGAGCCUGAACCAGCCAAGUAGCGUGCAGGACGACGGCCCUAUGGGUUGUAAACUGCUUUUAUGUGGGGAUAAAGUGCGUGACGUGUCAUGCAUUGCAGGUACCACAUGAAUAAGGACCGGCUAAUUCCGUGCCAGCAGCCGCGGUAAUACGGAAGGUCCGGGCGUUAUCCGGAUUUAUUGGGUUUAAAGGGAGCGUAGGCUGUCUAUUAAGCGUGUUGUGAAAUAUACCGGCUCAACCGGUGGCUUGCAGCGCGAACUGGUCGACUUGAGUAUGCAGGAAGUAGGCGGAAUUCAUGGUGUAGCGGUGAAAUGCUUAGAUAUCAUGAAGAACUCCGAUUGCGAAGGCAGCUUACGGGAGCGCAACUGACGCUGAAGCUCGAAGGUGCGGGUAUCGAACAGG
rnacentral:rRNA from 1 species